rnacentral:rRNA from 1 species
AUGGGCGGCGAGCGGCGGACGGGUGAGUAAUGCCUAGGAAAUUGCCCUGAUGUGGGGGAUAACCAUUGGAAACGAUGGCUAAUACCGCAUAAUGCCUACGGGCCAAAGAGGGGGACCUUCGGGCCUCUCGCGUCAGGAUAUGCCUAGGUGGGAUUAGCUAGUUGGUGAGGUAAGGGCUCACCAAGGCGACGAUCCCUAGCUGGUCUGAGAGGAUGAUCAGCCACACUGGAACUGAGACACGGUCCAGACUCAUACGGGAGGCAGCAGUGGGGAAUAUUGCACAAUGGGCGCAAGCCUGAUGCAGCCAUGCCGCGUGUAUGAAGAAGGCCUUCGGGUUGUAAAGUACUUUCAGUCGUGAGGAAGGUUCAUGCGUUAAUAGCGUAUGGAUUUGACGUUAGCGACAGAAGAAGCACCGGCUAACUCCGUGCCAGCAGCCGCGGUAAUACGGAGGGUGCGAGCGUUAAUCGGAAUUACUGGGCGUAAAGCGCAUGCAGGUGGUUAGUUAAGUCAGAUGUGAAAGCCCGGGGCUCAACCUCGGAAUUGCAUUUGAAACUGGCUGACUAGAGUACUGUAGAGGGGGGUAGAAUUUCAGGUGUAGCGGUGAAAUGCGUAGAGAUCUGAAGGAAUACCGGUGGCGAAGGCGCCCCCUGGACAGAUACUGACACUCAGAUGCGAAAGCGUGGGGGGAGCAAACAGGAUUAGAUACCCUGGUAGUCCACGCCGUAAACGAUGUCUAC